CAGCCGCCGCGGUAAUACGUAGGUGGCAAGCGUUGUCCGGAAUUAUUGGGUGUAAAGGGCGCGUAGGCGGACUGAUAAGUCAGGGGUGAAAUCCCAAGGCUCAACCUUGGAACUGCCUUUGAUACUGUUUGUCUUGAGUUCGAGAGAGGUAAGUGGAACUGCGAGUGUAGAGGUGAAAUUCGUAGAUAUUCGCAAGAACACCAGUGGCGAAGGCGGCUUACUGGCUCGAAACUGACGCUGAGGCGCGAAAGCGUGGGGAGCAAACAGGAUUAGAGACCCCCGUAGUCCCUGUCUCUUAUAC
rnacentral:rRNA from 1 species